rnacentral:lncRNA from 1 species
GUUAACUUGAUACCUUGUAAAUAAGGAAAAUAAUGACAAAAAUCAUUGUGAUUCAUUGGAAGGAAACUGCCAUACCCUUUAAAAGUAAUGAAAGCAAGAUUCUAUAUCCUUUGCCUAAUAGAAAGAUAACUUCCUCACUAUUUGACUUGAAACUUUGAUUUCUUGAACAAACGUUUGACCACCUGCUAUCUGACAGAUUCUGGGAGGCACCAGGGAUAUAAGGAAGCAAGACAAUUUCUGCUUUCAAUGAAUUUCAAGUUCAGAGAAGGAGCAUAUGUAUUCAGUGGCAAGGACAAUGUUACAUGACAAUUGAACCAAUUUUUGGUGGUUGCACCUGGACACUGAAGCCACCGUUUUCCAGAUUGUUUGCUUGGUUGUUUCCUCUGCCGGAUAUCUAUGUUUAUUGCUCUACCCUGAGGCUCAUCAUCUCAGGAAUCAGUGAAAUGUUUCCAAGAGUGGAUGGAACAGAUGUUGGGCAUGAGGCUGAGACACGCCCUGGAAGGUAACUAAAAGUCGAAUUAGCUUUAUUUUUUUGUUUGCUUUGCCUCGUUAUUUUAAAAGUUGUAUGUAAAAGAACUCUACUUAAUU